CCUACGUGUGGCAGCAGUGAGGAAUAUUGGUCAAUGGGCGCGAGCCUGAACCAGCCAAGUCGCGUGAGGGAAGACGGUCCUAUGGAUUGUAAACCUCUUUUGUCGGGGAGCAAAAGACGCCACGCGUGGCGUUCCGAGAGUACCCGAAGAAAAAGCAUCGGCUAACCCCGUGCCAGCAGCCGCGGUAAUACGGUGGAUGCGGACGGUACCCGGAUUUAGUGGGUUUAAAGGGUGCGCAGGUGGAAGAUUAAGUCAGCGGUAAAAUUGAGAGGGUCAACCUCUUCGAGCCGUUGAAACUGGUUGUCUGGAGUGAGCGAGAAGUAUGCGGAAUGCGUGGUGUAGCGGUGAAAUGCAUAGAGAUCACGCAGAACUCCGAUUGCGAAGGCAGCAUACCGGCGCUCAACUGACGCUCAUGCACGAAAGUGUGGGUAUCGAACAGGAUUAGAUACCCGAGUAGUC
rnacentral:rRNA from 1 species